GGAAGCUCUGACCGACCCCCAGCC
rnacentral:misc_RNA from 1 species